CAGCUCGCGAUCGGCUCGCGUGCUGCACAUUCGCGGCGCAUUCGCCAGAUGUGGACGCACCCUUAACAUUACACAGCGAUUAUCAGUGCACAAACGCCUUGCAUUUUUAAAUAGCAAUACGCAUUCUGCUACAAUCUUGCUCGUGCACUUUAUCUUGCAACUCGUUGCUAUCGUUUUAUUGGAAGUGUUAACUUGCUGUUAGUUUAUAUAUUUCCUUAGUGCUUUAUUACCAAAAUCUAUCGCCUUCUCUUAAAAUGUCUGACAUUAAAAGCCUUAUUAAGAAACGUGCUUCAAUUAAAGCAAAGCUUACGCAAUUUUCUUCAUACUUGAACAUUUCCAAGUCAUGUGAACAGUUGAGCGAAGUUCAGAUUGUUGAGGUUGAGUAUAGACUUAAUACUAUCGAAAAUCUAUAUGAUAAAUACGACGUGUUACAGGCCGACAUGGAAGAGAUGGUGGACGACCUUAGCGAGCAAUAUGCGGAGCGUGAGGAGUUCGAAAAGCAGUACUACAGCUUGGUGGCUGCAGCACGUCAGCUGAUCAGCAAUGCUCGCAAGCAAGCUUCAGGGAACUCCAUAGCCGAGCGCUGGUGAAUGUGUCGGAUGCUAAAGGCAACGUUCAUACUGCACGAACCCUGCUGGAUAACGGGAGUACGACUAACCUUAUGUCACAGGAGUUGGCUCGUAAACUUAACAUUUCCACCUAUACAGUCGAGUCUAAGGUAACAGGCAUUAAUGAUCAAUCCUCUUAUUGUACACAAGGUUGUUCGAUUUCAUUAAAGUCAGUCAAUAGUGAAUAUGACAUCGAUAUUGAUUGCUAUGUCGUGUCCAAAAUUUCAUCGUGUGUACCAAAUACAUAUAUCGAUGUGCACAAUAUAAAUAUACCUACCAAUAUAGUCCUGGCUGACCCUCAGUUUUACGUUCCAUCUUCUAUAGAUAUUCUUGUAGGUGCUGAAGUCUUUUGGAACGUUUAAGGUACUAGCCGUAUAGACUUAGGUAAAUCCAUGCCUACUUUAUUUGAGUCCAAAUUGGGAUGGCUGUUAUCAGGAGUCAUCAAGCAAUCAAAUUCUUCUUCUCAUUUAUGUUUGCUGGCUGAUACUUUGCAGGCAGACUUAAACCGUUUUUCUAAGCCAGACUCAGUUUCAGCAAAACAUCUCACGCGCGAAGAGCGUUCUUGUGAGGAAUUAUCUUUGAAGUCCACUUACCGUGAUGCGGAUGGACGCUUCGUAAUUAGCAUACCACUUAAGGAAUCUCCUGACAUAUUGGGUGAUUCCUAUAACAUGGCUAAGCGCCGCUUAGCAUUACCCUACACAUUAGGGCUGAACUGGAGGUGCUCAUCACAUACAUUUUCUUUCUCCAUGUCAGAUCUUUGAUUCUAUUGGCUUGGUCGUUCCUUGCAUAGUGGAAGCCAAGAUAAUCAUGCAGCAACUGUGGCUGAUAAAGUGUUCCUGGGAUGAGCCAGUUCCCGAACAUAUUCAGCAUCCACGGGACAGCUUUCAAAAUAGCUUACCUUUUUUAAAUGAUUUUAGGAUGCGUCGGUGGAUCACGUGUGAAUCAUCAUCUUCUGUGCAGUUGCAGGUGUUUACCGACGCAUCUGAAAGGGCGUAUGGUGCUUGUUUGCAUGUCCGCAGCGUAUCGCUUAGUGGUGAGGUUCAUAUACACCUUACUGCUACAAGCAAAUUAGCGCCGGUCAAGUCAACGACCAUCCCCCGACUCGAACUUUGUGCUGCGUUGUUGAGUUCAAGAUUAUACGUAAAGGUACGUCAGUCACUUACACUACAUAUUGACGGCGUCUAUUUCUGGUGUGAUUCCACCAUAGUCUUGGGUUGGUUGUCCGCCUCACCCACGCAACUUAAGACCUUCGUUCGCCAUCGUGUCUCUGAAAUUCAGGAAACUGCGGAGGGUAGAACUUGGCGUUACGUUCCGUCACCAAAAAAACCCCGCAGACCUCGCUUCGCGUGGACUCAGAGCAGAUAAGCUACUUUCUUCUUCGCUAUGGUGGUCGGGACCACAAUUUUUAUUCAAGGAUUCAUCUACUUGGCCUCAAUUUCCUGAAUCGCAUCAACCCACUCAAAAUCUACCAGAAACAGUAACUUCUUCUUUUCUUCUUUUCAUACCUUCAAUCAUAACGACAAUAUCAUUUCUAAAUUAUUUACAACAUUUAAUAAAAUACAACGUUUUACCGCAUACUUACUUUUCAUUAACAUUAAAAUUAAAAAACAAACAGUUUGUCCUGGUCCACUUACAUCUAAAGAGUUGAAUAGUGCAUUACACAUUAUAUGUAUUAAGAUUUUGCCAACAGGAGUCAUUUCCUUCGUGUUGGAGUUGUAACAAUUCCUUUUAUGAUUACAAUAUAUUAAACACUAUUCUUUAAGCAACUAAACAUAUUAUUUGUAAAUUCUUAUUUGACAUGUAUCACCUACGACUUUUACAUCUUUUACCCCAAUUGCUUCUUAUAAAACUUCGUCACCAUUCACCCAUCAUGAUAGCUGACCGUUGGGACUUAUCAAGUGCUUUACAUGUGUGUUUGUGUGUUUGGCCACAAGGGCCGUCCAUCUUGAACCUUUAUCCGGCUUUUCUGGCUGCCAUGAACCGCUUUAUUGCUCGUAGGGGGAAGCCAAGCAACAUUUUCUCAUGUCUAGCAUUGUCCGCGGUUAAGUCAACCAAAGACCAUCUCAGACGCAUCCUUGGCUUAACGAAUUUAACGUUUGAAGAGAUGGCAACAUGUUUAAUUCAAGUAGAAGCUAUCUUAAAUUCCAGGCCCUUAACUCCACUUUCCGAUGACCUUUCCGACCUUAUUCCCUUGACGCCUGCCCAUUUCCUUAUUGGACGAUCGCUCAUCUUGUUGCCUCACCCACAGGUCCAGAACGCUCACGUGAACAACUUGCAGCGGUUCCGUCGCAUCGAAUGUUUAAAGCAACAUUUCUGGUCACGCUUCUCACAUGAGUACAUUUUGUGGCUCCAACAACGAACCGAAUGAACGAAAUGGCUCCGAUCGUCAGGGGAACUUACAGAAGGAACCCUUGUCGUCAUUAAGGAUAAAAGCUCACCUCCUCUGUUAUGGCUUUUAGGACGGAUCGUUAAGGUGCUUCCUGGUAGAGACGGCAUUGCACGAGUCGCCGACAUCCGCACACGUAAGGGUGUCAUUCGGCGAGCGUUCAACACUAUUUGCCCGUUACCCGUCGCCACUGCUGUUGAAGACACUUCAACGGGGGGAGUAUGUUGAGUCGUCCCACUCGCUUCAACCGCGUCCACGACAAGUGGGGGUGACUGUGACGUCGUGGCACAACAGCUCGCCGCGUAUGCGCCGAGACCAGAGGUCAAAUCAUGCUUAUGCGCACCGGCCGCGCCCACGCGUUCUUACUACUUUAAUUCUUAUUUGCUUAAUUGUACUAUAUUGUUAUAUUUAAAGUCAUUAUACGUAUUUACAUGUUAUACA